UACAGAGGUCUCAAGCGUUGUUCGGAUUCAUUGGGCGUAAAGGGUGCGUAGGCGGCGCCGUAAGUCAGGUGUGAAAUUUCGGAGCUCAACUCCGAAACUGCAUUUGAUACUGCGGUGCUUGAGGACUGGAGAGGAGACUGGAAUUCACGGUGUAGCAGUGAAAUGCGUAGAUAUUCGCAAGAACACCAGUGGCGAAGGCGGCUCACUGGCCCGAUACUGACGCUGAGGCACGAAAGCGUGGGGAGCAAACAGG
rnacentral:rRNA from 1 species